rnacentral:rRNA from 1 species
CCCUUAGACGUUCUGGGCCGCACGCGCGCUACACUGACCAGUGCAACAAGCAUCCGUCCUUGGCCGACAGGCUCGGGCAAUCUUUGAACGCUGGUCGUGAUGGGGAUAGACUUUUGCAAUUUUUGGUCUUCAACGAGGAAUUCCUAGUAAACGCAGAUCAUCAAUCUGCAUUGAUUACGUCCCUGCCCUUUGUACACACCGCCCGUCGCACCUACCGAUUGGAUGGUCCGGUGAAGCCUCGGGAUUGUGGUUCUUGCCGCUUUAUUGUGGCGUGACCGCGAGAACUUGUCUAAACCUUAUCAUCUAGAGGAAGGUGAAGUCGUAACA